UACGUAGGGGGCAAGCGUUGUCCGGAUUCAUUGGGCGUAAAGAGCGUGUAGGCGGCCAGGUAGGUCGGUUGUGAAAACUGGAGGCUCAACCUUCAGAGGUCGACCGAAACCAUCUGGCUAGAGUCCGGGAGAGGAGAGUGGAAUUCCUGGUGUAGCGGUGAAAUGCGCAGAUAUCAGGAAGAACACGCGUGGCGAAAGCGGCUCUCUGGAACGGUACUGACGCUGAGACGCGAAAGCGUGGGGAGCGAACGGG
rnacentral:rRNA from 1 species